UUCUCCAAAGAUUAACUCACAAGAUAUUUAUUCAAUAAAAUAAAAAUACAAUUUCAUAAAAGCAGUCCAAUUGUUGUUUUUCUUUUCUCUUUUCUCUUUUCUCUUUUCUCUUUU
rnacentral:ribozyme from 1 species